UACGGGGGAUGCAAGCGUUAUCCGGAAUUAUUGGGCGUAAAGGGUCCUGAGGUGGCUAGCCAAGUCUAUUGUGAAAUAUCAGGGCUUAACCCUGAACAUGCGGUGGAAACUAGAAAGCUUGAGUACAGUAGGGGCGGAGGGAAUUUCCGGUGGAGCGGUGAAAUGCAUAGAUAUCGGGAAGAACACCAACGGGACGAAAGCACUCCGCUGGGCUGAUACUGACACUGACAGACGAAAGCUAGGGUAGCGAAAGGG
rnacentral:rRNA from 1 species